AAGUCGUAACAAGGUCUCCGUAGGUGAACCUGCGGAGGGAUCAUUACUGAGUUUUUAACUCUCCAAACCAUGUGAACUUACCACUGUUGCCUCGGUGGUUAGUACUCUCUCUCGGGAGGGUGCUGCCACCGGUGGACUACUAAACUCUUGUUAAUUUAAGUCAUUCUGAAUCAUAACUAAGAAAUAAGUUAAAACUUUCAACAACGGAUCUCUUGGUUCUG
rnacentral:misc_RNA from 1 species